GGAGAAACAGCACGUGUGCAUUCAGGAGCUGGACCACUGAACAGAAGCUCUUGGAAUUAGCAGACAUUGUGCCAAGAACUUUAGACCCUCACAGGCCGUAGAGAUGGCUGGGAUCCAAUUCCUUUAUCUCUGAGGAUAUCUGGGUUACAUAUGGAAAGAGAGAAGCAAGCUUGGCUGAGAACAAUGGGGAAAGUGGUGCCACUCAUGUUUCUAUUUCCACCCACUCCCCGCACCCAGCCAGGAAAGAAGAAGCCCAAUAGGACAAUGAUCCUGAUGGAGGCUGUCAGCCGCCCCUGGGAGGUCUUUGUUGAUAUUGAGCUCUGGAGGAGGAGAUGGUGGACGACACCUGACGGCAUAUGGGAGAAGCCAGGCUGUAUGGAGGGACUGGGAGAACACUAAACCGGGUCUGGUUUCUGAAUCUGCCUCCCAAGAACAAGACUGCAGGACAGAUAAGCCUUGCUUUCCUUCUAGCACAGCACACAGUAAGCUCAUGGGUCUGGCUUCCCUAU
rnacentral:lncRNA from 1 species